UUAAGCAAAUUACUAUGCUUGAUAUUUUGAAUAUGUUAUUAUUCCACUAUGCUUAUUAUUUUUAAUAUUUUAUUAGAAUAGUAUCCCAAGUUUUUCCUAUAAAUAGCCCUUCCAAAACUCAUCUUGAAAUCACAAAAACCUCAUUUUCCUUUCUCUUACUAUACCCAAAAAUCUUCUUAACAUCCUUCUAAAGUUCUAAACCUCGGAGAUCUAGGCGAAGUUCUGUCCAUAACGCUAGCCUACGAAAACCUUUUAGGAAGCUAACAAUUUCGGUUGUUUUAUCAAGACGCAAGGUAAGAGGCCCCAAAUAUAAAUCGUUGAUGAGUAUACGUGGAGCCAACAUGACUGUACAUAUGGGGCUGACCUGAAGGGAGUGGAGUUCUGCUAUGCUAUUUCAUAAAUAAACAAGAAACUUGGUUUUAUUAUAUUUCA